GGGCGGAUAAUCAGAGGAGGCCAAGGACGUCGGCAAUUUACUCACUGUGAGCCGCGCCGAUGGCGCCUAUACAGCGGCAGGAGAAGGGGGCCGCCCUGGUGUAUGGUACGUUGACAUGUUCAGUUCCCAUGAUGUGUAAUCUUGCUGAUGGCUUGCUUGCUGAACUCAAUCUUCUGGGAACUUCUACACUAUUGCUCAGAUGUAUCCUUGCAUCAGUCAGCAGGACACAACUCUACUAUCUGACUGACUAUUAUUUUUAGUGUUUCUUUUUGGUGGAAAUAAUGUAGAAAUUUGACAGUGCAUUCCAAAAGUUCAAGAAAUAAUCAAGAAAGUUAACAGUGCAAUCCAGAUAAUCCUCUCUACCGACUGUAAGAUCACUUGUAUAUACUUAAUAACCCUGUCCCCUGAUAAUGUUUUACAAAAAUGUUGACCUUAGUCACUCAUGCAAACAAACAAAGACAUGGAGAAAUCAUUGACCCCAAUGGGCCGAAUAUUUCUUAGUAUCGUUCAUUGCAGCAGAUGAUUGACCAAGUUAACACCUACAGUAAUUUAAUUUAAUCCUACUAGUAGAAGGCCGGUACAGUUUUGCUAUACCAUACAUAGAAAAGUUAAGAACUGUAGCACUCCAAAUUGAGCUAGCUUACUAAAGAAAUAUGGUAGUACAACUGCAAUGAAAAUUUAUGAUUUUUAUGCACUAGUUUGCUUGCGGUUUACGCAAAAUGAAGGUUUCAUCAUGAAUUGUCUAAAACUCUGUUUUUUAUGCAUUUAACAGAGUAGAUGCUAUUGAAGAAAUGAGAGUGAGAGGUGAGAAGGAGAGGCAAGGAAAUGAGAACAGUAUGGGCCAGCAAAAGAAUGUCAAAAGAGGAAAUUCCAUUCAUUCCAUGAGAGAUUUUAAAAUGCCAAGAAGGACAAGCAUGUUUGAUAUAUUCAGGGACUGAUAUAUCAUUGCAUAUGAAGUGUUGAGAGAUGUAUUUAGUAAACCUACUGGACUAUGCUAUGUAGGUUUUAUAUUUUGGUUCAUGAACAUCUUUAGUAGAGGGUAUGGUCAUUAAGAUUGAGUGUCAUGUCUGUGAGGAUCAUGUGAUGUUCAUGAUCAAGUUAGUGCCUCUAUAAUGAACUUGUUGAUCUGCUUAAUAAAAAACCUUUGAACUCUCCUAUGUUGUCAUAUAUGAGCUUGUUU
rnacentral:lncRNA from 1 species